AUGGAUAUUGGAAGAGGAUUUUGAUUCAAUUUGAUAGUCAAUGGACCUCCACCAGUAGCUCGGUGAGUGAAGUAUUCAGGCACUUGUCCACCUGGUAAGACUGCAGAUCUACUAUUACUCUGGAUGAUGAGGUCUCUCGCCUCUUGAUUCAGUUUGAAGCAGUUGGCAAAUUUGAGCCAAACGAAUUGAUUGGGAAAGGACCAUUGUAGUAUCUCCAGGGACUUGCAGUCACUUGCAUCAAUGAAAUCGAUGUACUCCAAAAUCGGUGGGACUGAUACCAACUUUCGGCAUCCUUUGAGGGAGAAUGCUUUCAGACGAGACAUUUUCCGGGCCCACGGAGGAACCUCUUGUAAAGUCCUUGAGGUUUUCAAAGUCCUUGAGGGAGAUCAAGUUCAACCAAAGAUUGGUAGGAAGGACCUCGAGCUUAUCGCAUCCUAUUAAUAUCAGCCUCUGCAACUUCUACAUAAUGUCCCAAGAACCUAAAAACCAACAGCUGCUUAGUACCUUGCUUAAGGUAAGAGAUCAGAGUAAGAGCCAAGGGUUUUAUGUUUGCUCUGUCAAAAUUUGCUUAAGGUUUGUAGUAUGUUAUAAUGUUCUACCAGAUUACCAAGUCCAGAGGCACAGCACUUUAUAUGGGUAUCAGGUUACAUAUCAAACAUCUUCUUAAUUAAUUAGAAUAUAUAUGGGUAUUUAUUUAGUUUCAAUAUUAACAACAGUUGAUGAGCAAGAGAUUGAUGAUGAAAGUGAAGAAGGGGAAAAAGAUGUAGAAGAGCAUUUCUGUGGUGAGAAUGAUACAAAAUCUUCUUCAGCCUCGUCACUAUACUAAGCAUAACUUAUUAGUGUACCAAAGGCUCUGCAUACUGGCUCGCGUCAACACAUGCGUUAUACACACAUCGAUCUCCUCACCUAAAUUUGAGUUUCAGAUACAUACAUUUAGUUGAGGAAAGGACUCGUAGAGAAAAAAAAAAGAGAGGCAUUAACUUCAUACGUUUCACAUUUGCCAUGGCCACCAUGUUCAUCAAUAUCAAGGGACCUCCUAUUGUUGGACUAUCCCGCAUUCUCCUAUCUUCCAAUCGUCAUCAUCGCUCAUCAACUUGAACUCAAAGAGAAGCUUCCUGGAAGUGACUUCUAAGUUGAUACGGAAUGUGUACAGAUGCUCCGCUAAAGCCGGAUAUAAUCCAAAUAUGAUAUUAUUAUUUACAACAUCCACUCUCCUUGAUUUCUCUUUAGAGCAAGCUUCAUGGUCACCUUUAUUAAGCAGCAAGAUGCAAGCUUUAAAUGUCAUGGAUUCUGGAAGAGGAUUUUGAUUCAAUUUGAUAGUCAAUGGACCUCCACCAGUAGCUCGGUGAGUGAAGUAUGGAGGCACUUGUCCACCUGGUAAGACUGCAUGUUCACUACUAGCCUGGAUGAUGAGGUCUCUCGCCUCUUGAUUCAGUUUGAAGCAGUUGGCGAAGGUGAGCCUACGGAUUUGAUCGGAAAAGGAACACUCUAGUAUCUCCAGGGAGUCACAGUCAUUUGCAUAUAUAGAAUGAGUGGACUCCGAAAUCGGCGGG
rnacentral:lncRNA from 1 species